rnacentral:rRNA from 1 species
CCGCCGCGGUAAUACCGGCAGCUCGAGUGAUGGCCAAUAUUAUUGGGCCUAAAGCGUCCGUAGCUGGCCGAACAGGUCUGUCGGGAAAUCCGCUCGCUCAACGAGCGGACGUCCGGCGGAAACCAGUCGGCUUGGGACCGGAAGACCCGAGGGGUACGUCCGGGGUAGGAGUGAAAUCCUGUAAUCCUGGACGGACCACCGGUGGCGAAAGCGCCUCGGGAGGACGGAUCCGACAGUGAGGGACGAAAGCUUGGGUCACGAACCGGAUUAGAUACCCGGGUAGUCCAAGCUGUAAACGAUGCUCGCUAGGUGUGGCACUGGCUACGAGCCAGUGCUGUGCCGUAGGGAAGCCGAGAAGCGAGCCGCCUGGGAAGUACGUCCGCAAGGAUGAAACUUAAAGGAAUUGGCGGGGGAGCACGGGGCGGGGGCGGCGGGCCGGGCGCGGGGCGCGGCGGGCG